UACGUAGGGUGCAAGCGUUAAUCGGAAUUACUGGGCGUAAAGCGUGCGCAGGCGGUUUUGUAAGUCUGUCGUGAAAUCCCCGGGCUCAACCUGGGAAUUGCGAUGGAGACUGCAAGGCUAGAAUCUGGCAGAGGGGGGUAGAAUUCCGACGUGUGAGCAGUGAAAUGCGUAGAGAUGUGGAGGAACACCGAUGGCGAAGGCAGCCCCCUGGGUCAAGAUUGACGCUCAUGCACGAAAGCGUGGGGAGCAAACGAGG
rnacentral:rRNA from 1 species